CCCGGCCCCACAAUGGAGCCGGGCCGGGGGCGCUGCGGGCGGACCGGGGAGGUCUCGCCGGGUACCCCCGGCCCCGCGGAGCCCACACGGCCUCCCCUGCGCUCCGCUCCGCACUCCCGGCCCGCCGCGGCCUCGGCGGGGCGCAGUCCGCAGCGCCGUGGGGGACACGCACACACACACACGCACACACAUAGGCGGGGAGGGGGGGACGCGGCGCCCGGUGCGGCGGCGGCGGCGCGGGGAGAGGGGGGGUGGGUGGGAAGUUGCCGGGAAAGUCGGGAGUGAAAGUUGUCUCACCAGGUCCUCGAAGCUCCGGCGGUGCUCCUUGCCCUGCCAGUCCAGGCGCCGCGGGAUCAGCUGCGGGAGGGACACGGGGCCGGGGGCGGCCGUCAGAGCCCAGCGACCCCUCCCGGGGUAGCCCCCGCCGGGGCCCGUCCGCUCCCCCCCGGGAGGAACCCCCCCGGGCAGGAGCCCCCUGGCCCUGCCCCGGCCCCGCCGCGGGGCCCCCGCGCUCCCCGCCGGGUGUCCCGGGCGGAGAUGGGCUGGGUUAGACGGGGCAGGGCAACCCCGACCCCCCCGUCCCGAGGGCUUCCCCCGUCCCGCCGGGGCAGGCGCCUCACCUGGUGCUCCUCCAGCUCCUCCACCAGCACCUGGGGACAGACGGACACACAGACACACACACACAAAGGACGUGAGCCGGGCGCCCGCAGCGCAGCGGCUCCGCCGCCCCGUCCCGUCCCGUGGCCGCCCGCCCGGCCCGGCCGGCUCCGCUCACCUGGGCGGAUUUCUUGCAGGGUCCGGACUGCAGGAACCGCGCGAUCAGCAUUCCAGCUGGAAGCCUGGCCACAUGCUCUUUGCUUAAUGCCUGUAAAUCCACAGCCGUGCUCCGCGUUGCUCCUCAUCGCGGCUCGGAUGGAUUCAUGGAUCGGGAGGAAAGGAGAGUGUUAGGAAUGCCCCAGGUGUGUCCCGUGUGUGCUGCAGAGCACAGGGGUGCAGGUACCUGCACGGGGGGCAGGCACAACCAGCAGCCCUCGUUCCCAAACAGCCCUUGUGGAACUUCCCUGGGCCCUGCUGGCACAGUCCUGGCUGUGCUGUGCUGCUCUGCAGUCACUCCCGAGCCUCUUCCCAACGUUCCCGGCUCUCUGGCAGUUCAGCGUCCUCCCCUUGCCAUUCUCCCAGUUGCUUUAUUACUCCCUAAGUGUGCUACAAGCUCUGUGGUCGAUACCUCUUCCCACCUGUCCCGGGUUUUCCCCGGCAGGAGUCCUGUCUGCUGAGUAACGCCCGUCCUGUCAUUCCCCAGGAGCUCCAUUUCCCCGGCACACGCGGAUCUUGCAUCUCCGUGACUCAUCUCUUUCCGGAUCCUCUGCAUCCAAGCAGCAGCAUGCUGGGGGUGAUAGUAAAUCUCGGAGUGAAGGCAGGAUUUUAUGGAUGUGCUGAUUCAUCUUUCCUGGGAGCAGAGCUCUGUUAUGUAAAUGCCAACAGCAGCCGUGGCAGAGAGGAGGGAGAACGGACUAAUGAGGCAGAGAAGGACUCAGGAGCAGAAAUGCUUUAAGGAUUAGAACAGUUUCCUUCCAUGCUGUUCUUUAAAUAAAUAGAAAUUGAAGCUUUUAAGGGAUUUUAGGAGUGGGAAGUAACACUCAAAUACCCAUCACUUCACCUCGUCUGGUGUUGUAGAAAGGUUUACUCCGAGUUGUAGCUGAAACACAAUCCUCUGUUUAAUUUGGUUAUGAAAUUAAAUGAACUUCCCCAAGGUCAGCUUGGAACACCAGGUAAAGGUGUCUCUCUCAUAUUUUAUUUAUCGUUUAGUGUCCUGAUGAGUCAAAUCCUGACCUCUGCUUUAACAGUGGUUUGUCACAGCCAGAAAUGUACGUUUACAAAUAAAAAAACCCCAAAGUUUAGAGUGGAAUUGUGCAGCUGUGGUGGGUUGUACCUGGAUUGUACCUUUCCAAUAAAUGUAGCUGGGGAUGCACAUAUCUAAAUCCAGCUGGAUUUAAACACUGGAACGAAUUAAGCAUUUUCAGCUUUUUUUUUUUUUUAAUAUUUUCCACGGACAUUUUAUAGAAUAUCCUGAGUUGGAAGGGACCCACAAGGAUUUCUAUCCUGCUCAUCUUGGGCUUUUCAUAUGGAGCUAAAUUUAAUUUAAUUAAAUUAAAUCCAAAGUUUUGUUUAGCUGAUAAAAAUCCCAAGAGGUGUUUAGAAGGAAUUUAGGAGUUGGUGCCUUGUGCUGCACAAUUGUGAGCAAAUAGGGACAUUGAAAAGCCAUUGCUUUAAGAUCUCUAAAUACAGCAAACUCAGAUUUUGGUAUCAUAGUUAUUUAUUCUAAUAAAUAUAUGAGGUGCAAAAUAAUUAGCACUAAUUACAGUUGCUGGAGUGCAGGGCUCCUGUGUGCAAACCCACAUCCUGUUUUGCAGGACAAAUAUCCCAAUUCCUGCUUCUUCCUGGGGGUUUUCUCCCUCAGUGAGAGCUGUAAAUAAUAACUAAAUAGCUGUUAGAUAUUAUACGAGAUGCGCUCUAGGUUUUCUGCUGGUUUUAAUAAUUUAGUAUUUCAUUUCCCUGCUGCAUCAUUCCAAUCAUCCCUCUAGAUGGUGCCCGAUAUCCAAGAGUUGGGUGUAACAUUAUCCUGUAGGAAAGGCGAUGGAGGAACAGCCAGGACGCCGCUCGCCUUUGUUUCGGAAUUCUGCCACAUAAUAGUUCAUCUCCUUGAUAAAUUACUUGUUCUGCACGAUGUAAAUAUGAUGUUUCUUCCUUUCGAGAAUCCUAAAAUCCACUCAGCAGAGCCUAAAUUCCACGCGCCUGCAGCGGUGUCCUCCCGUGCUCCGGGGACGGAUCCGUAUCUCCCGUUCCUUAUGGCAGCCAUUAGUGUGAGCUGGGAGCAGCUGGAUGCUCUGCACAGCCCUGCUGCAGCCGGGGGGGUUAACCUGCCUGCUUUGCAAAGAAACUCAAUUUCUGGCUGUUAUUUACACGUUUUCCUUGUCUCUGUUUUACACAGAAAUGCACAAUUUCAGUUAUGGAUAAAACGCCCGGGGAAAGGGGUGGCUCUGUGUCCCUGUGUGCUCAGGGUUCUGCCAGGGGAGACCAGGGGAAUAAAGUCAGUGUCAGGUCCAUCCUCGGCAUCUCAGAAUUCCAAUUUUGUCCCUCCAAAGUGCCUGGAACCCCCCAGGUUUUACAGCAGGAAAAUUACUCCAGGUUGUAAGUGAUAAAGUAUGUUUUGUUCUUGUUGGUAUUACUAUUGCAGUCAGCACAUCCCUGUCUAAGGGAUUCUAACCCAUAUCCCCAGGAUCCCCUGGCUGGGAUCAAGCUCCCUGCUCCCAGCCUUUUCCAGCUUCUCCUGAGGUGCCUGUGGCAGCUGCCAGGUCGGGGGGCCCCUCCACAGGGGUCUGCUCCCAAAAAUACCAGCUGGUAUCUCCUGCUGGGCUGACUCAGCAACUUCAACUCGUGGUAAAUAUUUUAAAAUAAGCCUUUCAUGUUUGGUUUGUGAUUUUUGUCAGUUUUAGAGCCAAACCCUGCAUCUUUGACUUCUUCUGGAAGUGUGAGCACUCUCUCUGAACGUGCAAAUUUUACUGGAACUCCCCCAGCCAAGUAUAUAAUUUUAAUAAAAUUACAUCCCUGUGUAUCCCAUACCCUUUCUUCCUUAAGUUUUGAGGAUUUUUAUGUUUUAAUUAUAUUUUUCAUUUUACAAAAACAUGAGAAAUAUUGGGAAGGGGCACACCGGGGUUAGUUAAAAAUGCUGCUUUUAUUGAAAUAAAAAGUUUUAAAACA